GCCCUGCUGGCCACGCUACAGGCCAGAUGCCAUUGGCUUUCUUGACCACCUGGGCAUACACUGGCUUAUAUUUGGCUGCUGUUGACGAGCACCUCCAGAUCCUUUGCCUUUGGGCUGCUUUGCAGUCCCCCUUCCCCCAGCCUGUAGCACUGCGGGGGGUUGUUGUGGCCAAACUAUUGGACUGAAUCCUAUUGAACCUCAUGCCGUUGAUCUUGGCCCACCUAGAUACCACAAAGCACCCAAAUCAAUCAAAUACCCUAUGUCUUUCCAGUGUUUGUGUAUCUAUAACACAUCUAACACACUAUAAAUAUCCCCUACCCAAAGGAGGCCUUAGACAGGUGGGUGGACACAGCAUGCUGGGGCUGAGGGCAUCCACCCCUCAUGCCUGGCACCCAGACCAGGCAGGGCGCCUCCCCCUGUGCCGACACCUUUCCGCCUUGAAUUUAAAAAAUUCAUUUUCUUCCCUCUCUUCUGCCCAUUCCCCUGCUUCAGUCUAACAGAAGUAACUCACCAGUCACUGUUGUUUCGGGUUGCCGGAGUGGUUUUUCCCUCAGCCUGUGUUUCCUGCAGCACCUCAGGGUUCAGCCCAAUCUCCCACUUUUUACAGGUUUCUGUUUUUUAGGCGGUACCUCCACACACACAGCCCCUGCCAUCCCUCUACAGCGUAAUUACUGGAGCACAUAAAGCAGUUAUAGCAGGAAUUUAUCACUUUCAGGUAGGAAUACUCCUGGCCAAGUAAAAGAUAGAGCAGGAAUGCCAGGAGCGAUUUAUAACGGGCUUACUGACAUUUCACGUGGAGAAGCUCCGUCAGUGAAUAAGCAUCAAGCUAUAAAUCUCAGAGAAAACAUGAUUAAAGCGAGCAAGUUAUUCUUUGAGGGAACUUCAUCAUAAAAGGAUGUGGUGGUGUGGAGCCACAGAAUUUGGUUGGUGACAGUCGUAGAAAACAGCCGUCAGAGCAGCGUCCCAGAUUUACCUUAUCUAGAGAGAAGGACUUCUACUUAAAUGAGUGUUAAAUCAGGGCUGAAAGUAUUUCUUAAUAAACUAUUAAUGUCUUCCAAGAAGGAGGUUCUCCAGUUUUCGGGUGUCACACUCCUCUGCUUUGGUAGUUUGUUCCCUCUGUGGCUCCUGAACACUGGGAAUGGUUUGAACUGGGAUUUUUAUUAAUUUUUUUGCUUUAUUUAGAGAAGGGUAAAUCUUUGUUACAAAUAUUAGCCAGAGGUGCAAGGAGAUGAGCACUACGCAGGAUGCAGAAUUGUGAAAUCUCACAGCUCCAUUGAUCUGAGACCAUUUGUCAUCUGGGGCAAGCUGACACUUGACAGGGUGAAGCACCGUCACGCUGAUUUGAAUGAUGGCAUGUUCAGCCUUUAUUAGCAAUGUCAUCGUAUCUCCUAACCUGCUUGACCCCAGAAAACACUGUCUCGGCUUUCUCUGCAUCCAUGAUAACUCCCAGUCGUUAUCCAUGAGAAGAGAAACCGUGGAGAGUCCUAAACAACAGCCUGUCCCUUGCAGUGAUGCUGUCCUUGCAGAAUCCGAGCCGGAGAGGGAUGGAUGCAGGCAUCCCCAUCCUCACACGUCUCGUUUCCCUGGCACGGAGAGGAGGGCUGUUUGUUGGCAUCGACAGCACGGGAGCUGCAUCAGUGCGCUUGGAUCCAGCUGUGAAAAGUGCGGCUGUGUCUCUGUAAUAGCCUGUUGUUUUCUGGUGCUCAGGGAACCCCCCGCUGCGUUAAUAGCACGGCGCAGUGUCCCCCUUGCUGACGGCCCGUCAUCCCCGGCCGUGCGGACCGGCGGGAUCUCUGCCGCCGAGGGAAGCGGAUCUGCGGAAAGGAACAACAGCCGCCGAGGCGAGCGUGGAAGUACAACAAAACCAAAGGAAAAUCACACCUUGUGAUAGACACUUGUAGCUGCCAGAUGCUCCCAGAUCUGUUUCUGGCAGGAUCUGACUGCAGUGAGCUGCUACAGAGCACAGCACCAUCCUUGACUCUCCUGGAGGAGGGAAAGGGGCAGGCAGACAUGCCCUGGGCCUGCUCUGCCCAAAGGGGAGCUUGUCCCCAAGCCCUGCAAGGUGGGGGAGUGGCACAUUCCUGGUGCCUCUUCCCACCCUAUGUGCAUGCACCAAAACACCAGGAUGCAGGAGAGGGUUGACAGCAAGGGGCACAGCUGGACAGGGCACCCUCACUCCUUUCCUUGGGCUGCAGAGGAUGAAACUGGGACAGGAACCUGCUCCCUCAUAUUGACAAAACCAGGAUAAACUCACAAAAUAAGCUAAAUGAGUAAUUUUUCCCUUAAAAAUAAACAGUUACCAGAUGCAACCUUUACAUCCUACUACUCCCUCUUACUUGGCUGUUGUGUGCUCAUCCUGUGGUCCAAAAUCCCAGCUCCCAGCAUCUCCUAGGGCACUGGUGAUACUGAAAGAUGGCAAAAGGCCUCGCUGCCGAGAUGAAACUUUAAUGCAAUUUGAAGCAUUCAGAGCAGGUUACAAACAACACUUGAUCCAUAGAUCUCUUGAGUCAACCUGGCAUUUAUGUUCACAAAAUAUGAGAUGCCAAUAUAUACUGUACAGGACAGUAAACCAGAUAAGUGCCUCAUCUUCCUUCCCUCCGGCUGAAAUAUGUUUAGUGUCUCUCCCAAUAAAUCCACGUGUGCACGCACAGUCUCUAUUGUGCUGAGACAUUAUGUGGGAAUUUACAAACAUUUACAACUAAGUUAAACUGAGCCAAAGCACUGCCCUGGGCAGCCUGAAGCUAACAAAUACUUGUGUUCGAGAAAGAUGUAAAAGUCACGAGUGAUUCAUUCUCCUUAAUUUCAUAAAGGUUAAGGAGUUGGCACUCUCAGAAAUCUAAGAAACGUCUUCCUCUGCAGUGAAUUACUGCUACCAAUUGGACAGUCAGGAGCGAAAAAAAUGAUGCAGGGAACAGAGGGAAGCAAGAAAUACAUCUCUAAAUUUGGUUUAUGCAGUAUUUAAAGUACAACUAAAGCCAUUCCAGGCAGUAUAAGGCCCACACACUUUAAAAUAAAUUUGUUGCAUGACAGAAAGCCAGUAAAGCGGUUUCGGCAGUGGUGUGAUAUAGUGAGACAGCGGCGUUGGGUACGUGCAUGAAUCAGCUCCGUGCCCUGCUGAGGCAACGAUCAUCUCCGCCGUGCUAAACUGUUAAUGUGGUUUUCAAACAAUGCGGAGCUUCACAGCAAAACCCGCGCUGAAGGAUGGGCUGGGCUCGGCGGCUGACGGGGAAGGUAAAACAUCCUCGUCUACCUCGUGCUUCAUUUCAAAGUGCUGCCCAUCUGGUAAAGACCUUUUUAUGUAAAUACACCGGUACCUGAUAUUUUAUUCAUUUAGCGAAGUUCUCCAGCUGUUUUUCAACAAAUAUACAAUUAUUGCAUGAUUCAUCAUGUAAUGGGAAGGGGUGAGAGCAGAAGGAGGCGGUUCCAUCGAGUCUCACAAGUCAGCCGUUUUCCUGGGCAUUAAAAGAGCCAAAGCACCUGGGAGGAGGGGGUCUCUCUCCUCCCAUCCACCUGAAUGCAGAGCACAUCCUGGGACUACCCCACCAGGAAAGGGUGCUCAGCUCUCACAUGCUGAGCGGCCGCCGCAAGUGACAGAAUGGAUCCGCUUCAUCAGAAGACUGGAAAAAAAAUGGGAAGAGGAACAGCCUCAUGCUUUGAAUUCCCUCUUUCCCCAAAUGUCUGAAUCAAAGCCUUUAACAGGCUUAGUUUGCUACUAGUGCCGCCCCUCUGAGGCCAAUUUUGCUGUGCAUCCGAGGCCCUGAGAGCUCACCGUGGUGGCAGAGGCAUCAUGGGCUGCAGCACUGACUUGAAAGACACGGCACUGCUGAGACCAUUUGGUGCAGUAAUUGGCUAGAGCCAUUAGACUAGCAAGUUGUAGGAUUUCAAAUAUUGAGGGAUUUGAUCCCCAAAAGGAAAUAAUAAUAAUAAUAAUAAAAAAGUCUGUUACACUUUCAGACUAAGCAGCGCAGUCAGCAUUGCAUUACAUAGCAUUAAAUUAUUCGUUGAGCCUCAGUAGCAGGAACAUCUGCUGGUGUUAGACAUGGCAUUUUUAAUUAAAAGCAGCGGCAGAGAAGCCUGUGGUUCAUUGGUUCUGCUUUCACCGUGCGAAUUGCUAAAUCCAAAGGGCACUUGUACAAAAGAUUUGGUCAGAGCACAAGCUCUGGACCCAGCGCUGCAGAAGCGCGAGCGGAAAAGCAGCUGAGGUGACAGGUAAUUUACACCUGCACCUGCUGGGGACCUCUGAGAAUGGCCACAUGGGUCAAAACUGCAGAGGAUUUUACAAAAUUGAGACUACCCUUCUGAUUUUACCAGAAAAGGGGUUUCCUGCAGAAAGGCAAAUAACAGAGAACAGCAAAGCAGGAAAAAAACCUGUGCCCAGCUGGGGGACCACGUUCACACCUUUGCUUCAGCAGCUGCUGGUGCUUCCCUGCACCAGUGCUGGGCUGCAUGGAUGGAUGGCACAGACCCUCCAUAUCAAGCAGUGCCACCCAGGAGAUUUACCUACCAAAGGAAUAAACGCUUGAACAAGGAAUAAUUUCCAUCCCCCAUCAGCUGCCCUCCCAGACCUCUCAUCCUAAGCAUGCCAAGGCAGACCAAAAAUCAGGCCUGGGCCUGAUUUGAGCAUGGCCUGAUUUGAGCAUGGCUGGAAAAUGCCCAAAGCCCCCCGCAGCAUGGAUACAUCCAAGGCAGAGCCAACCAAAAAAAAGCCUUCUCACCCUCUUCCACCUCCCACUGCCCCAAGGCAGCCCCACAAGCCUGGGUCAUCGCUAGGCAGUCUGCUCUGACAGGGCUCAGCCUUCCUGUAAUAAAACCUGAAUUAAAAUGUAUGCCAACUGUCAGGUCCCAGCUCAGCUCGGCGGAUGGGCAGAGCUGAGGAGCAGGGAGAGGUUCCUGUCCCAGGGUCCGGGUGCAGAAGCGUCAGCCCCACGGACACGCGCGGCUGCCUCCCCGCAGGCACAGAGGGGACGGGAUUUCCCUCGACGAGCCCCGCAGAUGGUGUUUGUUUGCUCAGCCACGGUAGAAAAGGAAAAUAUUUGGUGCAAUCUGCUAGCAGACAGAGACAGACAUAUGGUCGGUGCGAGGCGAGCGUGGAUGCUCAGGAAAACGCAGUCAGAGCUCUGCAGAGGCUUUUAGAUGUUGGAUUGCCCCUGAGUCGAGUGGGAUACAAGUCCAGGGAAACCUCUGAAGAACCUGGGUGAGUGUUUUGUACAGUGGCUGCUGUGGCUUGAACCCUCAUAUUAGCCCCACUCUAAUUAGUCUUAUUAUACUAUCCCUAUUGUACUAGAGUUAUUAUAAUUAACCCAAUUUUAAUUUAUGCAAACCUCAGCUCUGGCUCAACACUUAGAGAAAUUCUCCCUGGUUUGAUGUCUGUUCAUCUGGCACACACAAAACAGGUUAAAAACAACAGAGCCAAUUAAAGGCAAUUACUUGCACUUUUGGACCCAGUGGAGUCAGGAUGCAGGUGCAUCAUUGCUUUUGUUCUUUACCUGGGACUUAUGAGCCUGUUGUUAAAUGUAACACUGCAGCUUCAAGCCUGUGGGAAAUCUUUGGGCCGGCCCAAAAAAUAACAUUCUUUUUGUUUCCCUUGCAGUUACAUUUUAAAAAUGCAAAACCCUGAUUGUUCUGAUCUCUGUUUCCCAGAUAUCAAGGUCUCUUUCUUAAUCAGGACAAAUCUCCAGCUAAAGCAGCACUGGUGACCUCCAUGGGGUUGAUCAGGGAUCUCUGCAUCCUGAGUCAAGGCUCAGCACCUCCAGCUUCAUCAGGAUAAAACAGAUUCCCAGGACUGCGGGGAGAAAUUUGCUGUGACUUCUUAACAGCAAACCUGCCUAAUUUUAAAGAAUUCAAGUCCUUUUGGGGGGUAGAAUGGACCCCCUAACUACACCUGAGUGCUCAAGGGCAGAGACAGCUGCUGUGCCUCAGCACCGAGAUGAGGAUCCCUGUGGGGUGAAGUUCUGUUGUCACCACACUUAGAAAUGAUCUGUGGAGAGGGAUGGGGCCACAUUUCCAGCUCUGACAUGAGCUCCACACCCAAAACACCUGGUAUGGUCAUACUGGUGCCUCCACUGGUCUUGCUGUGGUGCAUGAGGAUGUCAGCCCCACCUUUUAGCUCCAACAAACUCAAAUUAAUACAUCAGCAAGGAGUACAGCUGGCAUUCCUGGAGAAUAUGAAAAGUGUGGUUAAUGCUCCCUUAAUAUAAAUUAAAAUGCUCCUUCCCUGCUAAGCCUUCCUUCCAAAGGCAGGAGCAGAGGGCUCCAGCAUCCCACAAAACCCAUGCCUCAUGCUUCUUAAAAGUGAAAGCCAGAGCUGAGCUGCAAAUAAAAGAAGUAAGGAAGUCUGUGAGGUUACUGCAGUGAUACAUGGAUGCAGGGCAGUUUCUGGGAAGGGCCCUGCAGAGGGGCUGGAGGAAGGGCUGGGGGCGUUGCAGAGCCUCUGAAACAUAUCCCAGAGCUCCUGGUCUUACUUCUCCCCUCGGUGCCAACUCACUGUGUCAUCACAAGACAGAUUUUUCUGGGCUGCAGCUUGACCUGAACCUUUGGAAAUCUCUCACGUGCAGAGCUCCCAGAGCGUUUUCCUGACUUGCUUACUAACUGGAGGAAACUUAAGGAACAAAAACCACGGCACAUCUAUAUGUGUUUACAAGUGGGAUUAACACUUGUUAAAGUAUGUAUAAAAUAAAGCAAGCCUGGAGCUGCCCCUGCCUGGCUGCUCAGGUACGGCGUCGAUUUCCCGGGUUCCUGGAGCAGAACGGAUUCAGCAGCUCCACAGCCUGCUUUGCAGUGAUGGAUGGGAAUGAUUAUCAUUGUUAAUCCCACUAAGCCUACGGUCUCAACUUUUGAGGGUGCUUAAAGGAACACUUGAGGAGGAGCAUGUGAAGAUGUGUGGAGCACCUGCUCCUGUCCCCCUGUUAGUAUUGACCUGAGGGCACUAUCUGGUGCAAGGAUUUUAAACAGGAAUAGUUCAGAGCAGCCAGACUGUAGGCUUCGACAGGGACUUGGACUAAUGCUCCAAACGAGGACCACACUCCUGAGUCACACCCACUGGCUGCUUUGGAGGUGGUGUUAUACUCAAGGCUACAGGUGGGAAGGAAUAACCCAGCUGGGUCUGGUUAUGGAGAGGCAGAUCAUCCCGCUUCGUCCUCCCUGUCACACACUGGAUGUUCCUCCAUUUGUCUCUGACUGUGAAACAGCAGCACACACUGAAGCAGAGGGCUGGGUAAAACCCCUUCAGCUGGCAGCUGGGACACAGAGAGGAGAGGGCUGGGAGCUCACCCUGACCUGCUAAGGGAAGCAAGAUCCUCGAUGAUAACCGUGUCCUCACUUGGAUUUUAUCUCGUGUGUGUUACCAUAAAUUCUGUCAUGCCCUUCCUGUUUCUUUCUUUGGAGUCAGUGAAGACCUGAGCUCUUCCUAAGAGACACUUCAUUUCCACCCAACAUGCUGAUCUAGUGAAAGACUUGCUGCUUAAUCUGGAGGCUGGGGUAGAGGGUGGGACUGUUGCUUUGAGCCUCCCAGCUUGUGGGAGCACUGCCAUUUCCUGCUCUCGCCUCCCAGCACGGGGCCCUCACCAGUGCUCUCCCUGGCAAUGGCCUGUUUCCAGCGGUGUCUUCCAGCAGCAAUCAGCACUGAACUGGGGGCUGCAUGCCCAGGAACCAAGCACUGGGGAGCAGUGCCUGGUUUCAAGCGUUGCUCCGUGGGUUGCAAGCACAAGUAUCUGUUUCCUCCAUCCUGAGCUCCAUGUGGCCGCUGUAACUCUCCCAUUUUGGCACGUGCCAGGUGCUGCAGGAUUGUUACGUGGUGUGGGUCGGGCUCCGGUCCCAAAAUACUGAUACCCCUUGGGGUGGUUUUGUGCAGCUUCCCCCCUGCCACAGAUGUUUUGAGGAGCCUGGUCUGGCCCAAAAUUGGCUGUACUCCCUCUGCUGCUCCCCAGCACCAUGAGGCUGAUCGUCCUGCCUCAUACCAGCACCAUGGAUGCAAGUGGUGGGACGAACAGAGCCAACAGCACACGCUGGCUGUGCCCCUUACUAAUGCUGUUCUUACUAUUUUAGUGCCAUCUUCCUUCUUUCCACCCUCUCCCUGAACAACUAAAUUAAUUAGAGUGGGUUUUUUUUAUUUAAAUACUGUCAUGGAAUAAUAAUCUUAGUGAAUUCAAUUUUUGUUUUGUCAUUCCCCACUGCUUCUUUUCUCUGUUGUGCUCUCUUUUAAUAUGCUGCUGAUACUUUGUUAUAGCUAUGCAAGAUCACAGCUGUUGUCUGAAAAAAAAAAGAGAGUAAAAUCAUGUUAUGUGCUGUUGCCAUCCAAAACCCAUUUUUCUUCCUCCAGCAGCUCACAAAAUAACCCUUCCCCUAUUAAGUGCAGAGGCAUACAUUUUUCUUGGCUUGUAAAAAGCUAGAAAGUCUCAUAGCAGAUUCAGUGAAGCUGCAGCAGUGGAAGGAAGUCAAAGCUUCUACAACAGGCUGGGGCACAUCCUGAGCCUAUUACGAGCUUGGAUUCUGCAAAUUCUGGAUCCGAGCAGUGACUCCACAGAGGCAGCAGGUCUGUGGGCACCACCAGCUCCUGUGCUUUACUAGCCACUGAGUUUUGUUUACCUGGAUGUGUUAUUUUGACCUGUAAACAUGUUUUCUGAAAGGACCCAGUAACAAAACCACUCCUGCAGCUCUCAUGAAAGGACAAAAAAAAUCCCAUUAGACCCCGAAUUUAUAUUUACAGUAUUUUGCUUAACAUUGGCCCUUCUGGACAGCUUUCCUCGGCCCUGCCAGGCCCUCUCUGACCCUUUGAAGUCAGCCCUCGGUGGUCACUGGCAUCGAGACCAAAGCUAAGCAAGGAUCAAGCUGUAGAAGCACCUGCUCUCAUCAACAGCACAAAGCCGUAAAUGAGGGAGAGCCAGGAUGGAGAUUUGAGUCGUUGUCUCCAAGUCCACAGUUCCAAUUACAAAACUGACUUCAGUCAGCCUCACAAUGCACACAACCAGUACUGAAAUUCCUCCUUGACUCCCUGACCCUGUUCAGCACCUGCACUGCCUACACCUCAUGUCAGUAACGUGUCAGAGCAGUUCUAAAUGAAGGUCGGUUGAGGCCCGUUCCAUUUAACACACGGGGGCUGUGUGACCGCUCUGGCAGGGCUUGCCCCAGCACUGCUGCCUCUAACAAGGGUUAUGAGAGUGGCUGAGGUGAAAUUGCAUCAAAGGAGUGAGAUGAAAAGCUUGUUUUCCCCCCGGACUGCAGCUCCUGGAGAGGGGCCGUGCCGUGGUGCACAGAGCGCUGCUGGGUCAGUGUGUUCAGCAGUCUUACCUCCCUGUCCAGGCCAGAGGGAGGAGAGAGCUCGUUGGCUGCUUGGGUUUUUUGGAAAGCAGAGUUAUGUAAAGCAAAAAUUUCUGAGGGGAUCCAGAGAGGACUGACAAGGCACCUGCCGUGACACCCACAGGGGAAGAUGACGGUGAGUGCUAAAGACAGGGGAGAGACCCCGUCCUUCCCGGGCCGUGCACAGCCUGCUGACAACCCCUCAGACACAUCCUCAGCAGCUGCCUUUUAGUCCAGGCUCCGCAUUCCUGGCCACCCCUGGAACCACAAUGGGCCCUGCUCAGGGAGACAAGAGGUGAUGAGAAGCCUGCAGCUGGUGUGCAGAGGCAGGAUAGUAUCAGCUUGCAUGUGUUUUGCCUUGGAAGUGAGGCUGGAGCGUGUCCCACACCUGAAAGGGACAGGAUGAAUCUGAGGCUCUGCAGGGAACAGGGAUGUUUGUAAUGUGGCACAAAAGGUAAUUCAGCCCCUGGUGACGUGAUAUACAACCACCUUGCCAGAUGCUUCAACCCCCCAAACAGUUGUAAGUGCUUCUCCAUGGGCCUCAGUUAAAUUCCCUCCAGGAUGUAAACUCGGGCUUGUUUGGACCAAUACCUACGGACUUGAUUGCAACAGCAGAUGGUUUAUUUCUACCUGCAAGUGAAAACGGGGAGUGUAUAUCACGGCCCUGACACAUUUCACAUGGAGCAGAUGUUUCUAUUAAUGCCAGAAUUGGGUGGAAAUUCAAAGGAUGCUUUUUGCUUUUUUUUCCCUCCUCAAAACUAUUUUACUCAAUUAAAUUGCAACUUGCUGAAGUAUUCCAAUGAAUCACUUCCCUUUUUUUUUUUUGUUUGAUUAGUAGGCUCUAAAGGGACAAAAGAAUAGCUUUGUAUCAGUCUCCCUCAAUUACAUGUAAAGUACAUCUGGACAGAGCCUGAAGAUCCAUCUUUCACUGGCAGUUGCAAAGCCAUCGACAUAAUAAAAUAAUACUCUGAUUGGUA